rnacentral:rRNA from 1 species
GAUGAACGCUGGCGGCGUGCCUAACACAUGCAAGUCCAGCGAUUCUCUUCGGAGAAGAGCGGCGGACGGGUGAGUAACGCGUGGGUAACCUGCCCUGUACACACGGAUAACAUACCGAAAGGUAUGCUAAUACGAGAUAAUAUACUUUUAUCGCAUGGUAGAAGUAUCAAAGCUUUUGCGGUACAGGAUGGACCCGCGUCUGGUUAGCUAGUUGGUAAGGUAACGGCUUACCAAGGCGACGAUCAGUAGCCGACCUGAGAGGGUGAUCGGCCACAUUGGAACUGAGACACGGUCCAAACUCCGACGGGAGGCAGCAGUGGGGAAUAUUGCACAAUGGGCGAAAGCCUGAUGCAGCAACGCCGCGUGAGCGAUGAAGGCCUUCGGGUCGUAAAGCUCUGUCCUCAAGGAAGAUAAUGACGGUACUUGAGGAGGAAGCCCCGGCUAACUACGUGCCAGCAGCCGCCGUAAGAC